GGCGCGAUGGCCGAGUGGUUAAGGCGACAGAUUAGAAUUUGAAAAUUUCUUCCAGUCAUCUGUUCCGGUUUCCGGGCGCAGGUUCAAAUCCUGCUCGCGUCG